CUUUAAUUAUCUUAUUAUAAAAAAGUUUAUGACUCUUAAUCAUGCGAAAAUGGAGAAUGACCAUUAUUAAAGA
rnacentral:tRNA from 1 species